rnacentral:lncRNA from 1 species
AAUUGGUUUUGACAAUUUCUCUAAAACCAAUGACCGUUAGAUUCUAAAUUAACACAAUGAAUAGAUCAUACGUAAAAAAAAUCAUUUAGAUUCUGAGCACAGUAUAAUAAUAUUGAUGAUUAUUUAGUGACAGGAAUGGUAUCUCAUUCUCGAUACAAUAUUGCUUUCGUGGGCUUUGUCCCCUCACUUGGACCGACUACCGGCA